GAAGGUGAAGAGUAGACAGAGACUUCCUCUUCCAACAGUAUUGGCAGAGUAAAUAUCCUGAAAAUCUAUCCUGCUACAAAGCACCUAAAAGUAGUAGAUACAAAAUGAAAAACACAUUUAAAUGCAUGCCUGCGUUGGAAAGAGGCCUGGGGCUUCAGUUAUGACACAGAUCAACUCAGGUCGGCACAGUGGGAGAGUUAGAUUCAAAUUCUGGAACCCAUAAUGAAUUACAUCUUCAGUGAAACUGCAAAUUAGGAAAAAAAUAAAAAUUACAAACAACCUGCCCUGAAUGAAGAAACAAAUAAAACUGAUGAAUUUUUUGAGCAUCUUGUGAGAAUUUAUAAGUCAGAGUUAGUCCUCAAAUGGCCCUAGGUUAGGGUCUGUGAUGGUUAAUUUUGUGUGUUAAUUUGACUGGAUUGAGGGAUACUUAGAUAGCUGGUAAAGCAUUAUUUCUGGGUGCAUCUGUGAGGGUUUUCUGGAAGAAAUUGGCAUUUGAAUCAGUGGACUGAGUAAGGAAAAUCUGCCUUCAGUGUGGAUGGGCACCAUCCCAUCAGCUGAGGACUAGAAUAGAAUGAAAAUGCAAAGGAAAAGCAAAUUUGUUCUCCUUCUUCAAGCUGAGAUACCCUUCUUCUCCUGCUCUUGGACAUUAGAACUCCAGGUUCUCCAACCACUGGACUCGGGCAUUUGCACCGGCAGUUCCUGGGUUCUCAGGCUUUUGACCUUGUGCUGAGAGUCAUACCAUCAGCUUUUCCGGUUCUCCGUCUUGCAGAUGACCUUCUCAGAUUUCAUAAUUGUGUAAGCCAAUUCUCCUAAUAAAUCUCUCUUAUAUAUCUAUCCAUCCAUCCACCCAUCCAUCCUAUUAAUCUCUGUAUAAUUCUGACUAAUACAGGAUUCCCUAUCUCACCGACUGCAUUGU
rnacentral:lncRNA from 1 species